rnacentral:lncRNA from 1 species
AAAUUAUAUAUGAAAAAAGAGUGACCUCUAGAAAUACGGAGUCAUUCGUGCUUUUAAGUUGUUUUUAAUGCUGUGACUUUCGAAUUGACAAUCGACUUCGUUAGAUUUUAUUUAGAGUAUUUGAAGUAUUUAAAAAAUAAAUUUUGUGAUUUUUCGAUAUCAUUUGUCUAGUGAUCGAAGAGUUUCAAAAUUAAUAAUUUUAAUGGCCGUAGUGAGCCGUUUGCAAAUUUAACGGUGUAAAAAUAUCCAAAUCACGUUCCGUACUUUCAGAAACAUACCAGUCUCUCUCUCUAUAAAAAAAAAAAAAGCUAUAUAUACACUUAUAUAUUGAUAUAAAUUUUACACCUUCUUAAUUUUAAGGUUUAUAAAAAAUUUUAUAAAAUUUAUUAAAAAA